ACAGGACUCUGAAAGGGGGUGUGGCCACUCAGAGAGCCAGUUUAUUAGUGGGGAGAGAAGGGGGCGUGGCAGCCACGGAGCGAAGCUAUUGGACCGCAGGAGCGAGGCGAAGGCAGAGGUGAGGAGGAGGAUGGCGAGAGGAGGCCGGCCCCGCCGAGGUCGGUGUUGUGAGAUUCUGUUUGUCACAGAUGAACAAGACAGAAUUCCUUUUGAAAACUAUUCUCAUUGGCAAGAUCCAAACAGCCCCAGAACAUACAUGUAUGGAAUAAGCCAGUGCUACAUCUUACAUUAAGCUGAACUCCUGGUUUACUGAGAAGAGUGUUCCUUCUGUAAAAUCUUUGGGUGAAUUGACUUGAGAUUACCUAAAGCGAACAGAGUGUAAGUAAGAAGCACUGCAUGGAGGAGUACAUCCAGAGAAUAAGUAGUCAGAAGUGGAACCUGAAGAAAUUCCAUAUAUAGAACUUGAAGAAAUUAGACGAGCAGAAAAGAGAUUUAGAACUGGAGCCAGAAAUCGGCUGUUUGAAAACAGACAAUAUUGAAACAGUGAAUUAGAAAUGUAAGUCACAACCAGACAGCAACAAGACAGGCUCCAGUCUAAUUUCAUGCUGGAGUUGUGGAAACAACUUCGCUUCAUACAACAUAAGAAAGUGAACAUAAGGAAGUACCUGGCACCUGUAUCUCCCAAAACAAUGUCCCUGAUGAAAAAACUUGAUUCACCAGCAGCGUUAGUGUAGAUGUCAAGACACUAUAUAUAUUUUUAAGCCGAUUGACCAAUUUUAACUGGAAGACAUUUAUUACUUUGAAUUAUAUCCCUCUUUCAUCAAAAAAGGCAUUUAAAGAAUCUUUAUUCUAGUUUGAUAGAAGGGCUUUGGGCACAGGAAUGGUCCAUUAAGUUACAAGAAGAGUUGCAAUCACUCAUUGUGGCCUGGUGGAGAAGUAACACUGGCUUUCAGCAAACUUGUUUGCAGGAAUCAGACUCAGGAAUACACGUUUGCAUGCACACCAACACAAAUUCCCUCCUUUUCUUUGUGAAGCAUGGUUAAGUAUUACAUCUUCACUGACACUAACCACAGUUAACAUUAACCA